rnacentral:rRNA from 1 species
GAUCCUGGCUCAGGACGAACGCUGGCGGCGUGCUUAACACAUGCAAGUCGAACGGAGCACCCUUGAUUGAGGUUUCGGCCAAAUGAUAGGAAUGCUUAGUGGCGGACUGGUGAGUAACGCGUGAGGAACCUGCCUUUCAGAGGGGGACGAACAGUUGGAAACGACUGCUAAUACCGCAUGACGCAUUUUGAUCGCAUGGUCGAAAUGCCAAAGAUUUAUCGCUGAAAGAAUGG